AUUGUUAUCUAAAAUUAAUUUCUACUUCAUAAUUAGUUUGUUGCUCUUUAGUUAAAACCUUAGAGUAACCAAGUCACCCUUUUUUGAUGUGCCAUAGCACUUUCAGCCACUUUACCUGCUCGCUUGUGCUCCCAUAUUUUGCCACAUAGCCCCUACAUCUUUUUAUUCCUCUUCUUCAGCAAAAAAAAUAUCAAAUUCAUUUAAUAUUAUUUGCAAUCCAUGUAUAAACUUAGCCCAACUUAACUCAAAUAGCCUAAUUCAACCGUAAGCACAAGUGGACAAAAUGAGGAUCAAAUUAAAUUUAUUAAUACUUGACUGGAUUAGUCUCGGAAUGUGGAUAAAGAACUUCAAGCUCGCAAAGAUAUUUUUGUAGUCUUGUGAAACUUUUCUUGAGGAUAUAUGAAUGUGUCUUUUACUGAUAUUGUUGAUGUAAUGAUGCUCUUUCGUUUUGUUGCUUCCUCUAUGGGAUGGAUGAGCCAUUCAUUACUUAUACUUUGGGAUAAGUUUCACAUUAUUCUUGUUUCCUUGAGUUCUAUAUUGCUAGCAUUACAGUAUACUUGUUGACUAUGUGUUAUUCUUGUAACAUAUCAUUUCUCAGCAUUAUAUUUUUUGCAACAUAGGAGAAUUGACAUUGUUACAAGUCCAUCUCAGUUUAUUAUGAGUCUAUGUUUUAAGUAUCAUUUAAUUUACAUUGUGUUGAUCUUUAUUUCAUUUAAGUUAAUGAUGAAUGGUUAACGUCAUUUAUUAUUUAGGAUUAAUUUGAAAUUCAAUAUUUGUUUAAAUAUAGUGUCACCAUUUGGAGUAAGGCAUGUUUCUUUAAAUAGGAUUAGUAUCCUGUAAUUCAGUCAAUGCUGAUGACGGAAUAAAGAAAUGGUUUUCUUGUGGCCUCCCCUCUUAUGAAUCUUUCUCCCUUUUGGGGUUUCUGUCUAUAAUUUAUCUUUGAAACCUAAUACCUCCUUUUAUUAGAAGUAUUCAUUUGUCGUGUUUUCAAUCCUUUACUUAUUAUCAUUUUGGUUCUUCCUCUUCACCCGAUUUUCCCUUCUCGAUAGUUAACUGCCAAUGAUUUAUCGCAAUCUUUUAUUUUUUCUGCCUCACUUAUUAUCAUAUACACUCCAUAUUUCUAUACAAGUUGGCAUUUUUGGUUUUCCUGACCAUACUUGAGGCCCAUCUUUUAAUUGGGAUAUCUAAGAUUAGAGCCUCCAUUAUAUUUUCAAAUAAGAGCACCAUCUUUAUAUCAGAAGUUAAAAUACAAUAUUUGAAUUGAUGAUAACAUUUGUGGCCAAUGAUUGUUGUUUGGUUGUGGGGAGUGAUUGUAAAAAGACACCAAUGAUUAGUGAAUCUACAGGGCAAGAGACUUUGUGAGACUCUAAGGUCGAUGACAUUGUGAGAAGCCAGCGUGAAGUAGGUUGGUGAGCUGCAGGGGCCAACUCAACAUGUUCAAUUACUCUUAACUUUGAGCAGAUGGUAGAGAUGGGUGGGGUUGGUUGGACCAACAAUACAAACACAACAUUGAGGAAAAACCAAAUUUCUAUGUGAAAGGAUAGAUAUUUUAAAAGAGUUCGAUGACAAAGUGGCUUGAGGAUAUCUACUAGAUUUAAGGGCUGAUAUAUGGCAAUGAUGUGAAAUUUGCAUUUGGGGAAUGAGGAAAAUUCACAGUACUAUCGGAAUAGGCAUUAAUAGGUUGGAGAUAGAUCUAGGUGUAUGUAAUAUGAUAGGUUAUGGGAUUAGGAUGGUUUUUAAAAUGGGAUGUUUUAGGGGUAUAAGUGAGCCGAGCCGUCUCAAACUUUACUCUUAACGAGCUCACAAGUCGAGCUUAUUGAGUUCUGAGAGGUCAAGCUCGAACCGGUAUAUUAUACGAGCUCGAGCUAGGGCUCAGUCUGGCUCGACUUGAAAGCUUAUCGAGCUAUUUGAUUUAUAUAUCAAAAAAUUAAUCUUUUUUAAAUAUUAACUUAUAUUAUACGGAAGGAAAGAAACCCUGGCCACCAUACAUCUUUCAUAAAAUCGUAAUACGUGACGACUGCGCUGCUACUGCGAAUAACUUUAUGUGCCUGGACUAAAAUUGCUAGGUUUUUCUCCUUCCCGUGGUUGACAUUUCGGACUAUUGCAAUUCAAGCUGUGGCUCUUCUUCUAUUUCAUCGGCCUGCACCUGUAUGUUCUCACGUCGUGUAUCCCAGAAGAAAGAGAGCAACGAGAAGAGUGUGUAGGCGUGAGAUUCUUCUCCUUCAAGAUAGCAAGAAAAAAAAUAGAAUUUAGUUUGAGUUUCAUCUAGCCACUUACGUGCAAAGUGGGGAAUGGUGACUCGAAGGACCUCAGACGACGCUAAGAGGUUCAACGAGCUCGAGAGAGAGCUGAAAUUGUGCAGCUUGCUCAAAUAAAGGAGAGUUGGAUUUCAGUUGCUUGAGUUGUCUUGUUUUCUCGAGUUCUUGUAGAGUGGUGAGGUAGUUUGCCAGUUCAAAUAUUUCUUGCUGUCUUUCCAAGUUUCUUCCUUUUGUUUUCUAGUUCUUUAUGAAUUAUCGGAAUAGGGCAGCCUGUUCGUUUCCUUUUGAUUUGGCCUGCAUCCAAUUUCAUAAAAAAAGUGAAAAAAAAAUGUUUAAAAGGAGAUUACAGAUUUCAUCUUGAAAUUCAAUUUUCAAUGUGUUGUGGGCUUCUCCAGCUUGUGGAUAUCUUGAUUGUAUUGUGUGUUAAAGUUGAAA